rnacentral:tRNA from 1 species
GGAGAGGUGGCCGAGUGGCUGAAGGCGCUCCCCUGCUAAGGGAGUAACGGUUAACGCCGUUCGAGGGUUCGAAUCCCUUCCUCUCCGCCA